AUAGGGAGUCGGACCUGCCCAGUGAAUAAUUUUUAACGGCCGCGGUACUCUGACCGUGCAAAGGUAGCAUAAUCAUUUGCCUUAUAAUUGAGGGCUAGUAUGAAUGGUUUGACAAGAAUAAAGCUGUCUCUAUACUAAUUAUAUAUAAUUUUAUCUUUAGGUGAAGAAGCCUAAAUAAUAUAAAAAGACAAGAAGACCCUAUCGAGCUUGAAAUGAAUCAUUAAGUUUGUAGUUAUAUUGUAUAAAAUAAUAGUUUUUGAAAAUUUUGGUUGGGGCGACUAAGGAACAUAUAAAGCUUCUUAAAUUAACUUAUAUACAUACAUGUGUUGAUCCAGAAGUUUUGAUUAAAGAAAUUAGUUACCGUAGGGAUAACAGCAUUAUCUUUUUUAAGAGCUCAUAUCGAAAAAAAGGUUUGUGACCUCGAUGUUGGACCAGAAUAUCCUAAAGAUGCAGAAGUCUUUAAGGGUUGGUCUGUUCGACCAUUAAAAUUCUA
rnacentral:rRNA from 1 species